CGGGUUUACUCGCUGUGUUUGUAUCUCUCAACUACUGUGAUGUGGUCCACAUUGCUGGUUUUGGGUACCCCAACUCAAAGAGCCAAAGACACCCUAUCCAUUACUAUGGCUAUGACACCAUGAAGUCUAUGAAGAACUCCUACCAUGACCUCAAUCAUGAGGCUGAAGCCUUAAAAAGACUGGAGGAUUCAGGAGCCAUUUUUACCUGCACCCGCAUUUAUGAUACACAAUCUGGUUCAGUCAAUUUAACCCAAAAAAACGAUUGAACACCAAAUCACAUCUGAAUCCUGGUUUGAUCCAGAUCAGAUCUUAAUGUGCCUUCUGCAUUAGGAUCAGACAAUUGCUGGAUCACUUAGUCCUCCUUUUGUAACAUGAGUGUCAGAGGUGUAUCUCUGGAGAAUGUUAUCACUGGCACCUUAUAUUUCCUAUGAUUUCUCAAGUAGAGUAACCUUAGCACUUUGUAAGAUGUUUAAAGGUUUGUAACAACUUGCACAGUUGUACCUAUUCAUGGUGAAACCACGUGUAUGUUUGUUAUAACACUUUUCUGGGAAAACAUUUGUGUCUGAUUGUGUUGGAUGUCGGAUAAUUCCAAUGAUGUUUGUUUUAAGGUCAUGUAACAGGGGUUUUAAAUGCUGCAUCACGGGAGCAUUUUAUAUCUACGGCGCAAAUGUUUGGUUUUUUUGGGCCAUUUUUGCCUUUAUUGGGUAGAACAGCUGAAGAGAGCAAGAAAUGUUGGGAGGAGAGAGUGGGGGAUGAUGACAUGCAGCAAAGUGCGGGGAGGGAUUCGAACCCACAGCCGCUGCUAUGAGGACAAUAGCCCCUGUACUUGGGGCACGCAACAUAACCGCCUCUUUUUUUUGUCCAGAGACUUCAUGGAUAUCAUUUAGCUGUGAAACGAAUCAUCCUACACUAUUCCUUUGUGAAUACACCUCAACAUGGUGUGACUUUAAUUUGAUGGGGUUUUUAAAUGAAGUCUGAAUCUUCUUGCUGUUGAACUUCAAUCUUAUUUACAGUUAAAUGGGGAUUUGUUUUUGUAAACUUCACUUUCAGUCUGUUUUAUUUUGAAUGAAUGGAAAAUGAAUUGAUCUAAAUCCUGAUAUGCAAUGUACACAGCUGGAGAAAAUUCAGUUUACUGUUAGAAUUCUUGGACUGGAAAUACUUCUUGUAUUUUGCUCAUUUUAUGAUGGUUUUCUAAUUUAUUUAAUCUUUUUUUUAAAUUGAAACAAUACUGGUAACUGGUACCACUGGAUGUUUUUUAUUGUACAGAAGUGAAUAAAUUUUUGAUUGAGGAGAUCAGAAUGAAAUUCA